rnacentral:rRNA from 2 species
GGACUACACGGGUUUCUAAUCCUGUUUGCUCCCCACGCUUUCGUGCCUGAACGUCGGUGCUGGACCAGGAAGCCGCUUUCGCCACUGGUGUUCCUUCAGAUAUCUACGCAUUUCACCGCUACACCUGAAAUUCCGCUUCCCUCUUCCGCACCCUAGCCUCGCAGUCUCGAAUGCAAUUCCCAGGUUGAGCCCGGGGCUUUCACACCCGACUUACCAGACCGUCUACGCACGCUUUACGCCCAGUAAUUCCGAUUAACGCUUGCACCCUCUGUAUUACCGCGGCGGCUGGCAC